GAUGAACGCUGGCGGCGUGCCUAAUACAUGCAAGUCGAGCGAACAGACGAGGAGCUUGCUCCUCUGACGUUAGCGGCGGACGGGUGAGUAACACGUGGAUAACCUACCUAUAAGACUGGGAUAACUUCGGGAAACCGGAGCUAAUACCGGAUAAUAUAUUGAACCGCAUGGUUCAAUAGUGAAAGACGGUUUUGCUGUCACUUAUAGAUGGAUCCGCGCCGCAUUAGCUAGUUGGUAAGGUAACGGCUUACCAGGGCAACGAUGCGUAGCCGACCUGAGAGGGUGAUCGGCUACACUGGAACUGAGACACGGUCCAGACUCCUACGGGAGGCAGCAGUAGGGAAUCUUCCGCAAUGGGCGAAAGCCUGACGGAGCAACGCCGCGUGAGUGAUGAAGGUCUUCGGAUCGUAAAACUCUGUUAUUAGGGAAGAACAAAUGUGUAAGUAACUAUGCACGUCUUGACGGUACCUAAUCAGAAAGCCACGGCUAACUACGUG
rnacentral:rRNA from 1 species